rnacentral:tRNA from 1 species
GGGGUUGUGGCUUAGUGGUAGAGCACUCUCCUAGCAUGUGUGAGGCCCUGGGUUUGAUCCUCAGCACCACA